rnacentral:rRNA from 1 species
UAAGGAAUAUUGCUCAAUGGGAGAAAUCCUGAAGCAGCAACGCCGCGUGGAGGAUGAAGGGUCUAUGACUUGUAAACUCCUGUAAAGAAGGAAAAAAUUCCCAUUAGAUGGGAGAUGAUGGUACUUCUGGAGUAAGCCCCGGCUAACUACGUGCCAGCAGCCGCGGUAAUACGUAGGGGGCAAGCGUUGUCCGGAUUUACUGGGUGUAAGGGGUGCUCAGGCGGAUUUGUAAGUCAGAGGUGAAAUCUUACAGCUUAACUGUGAAACUGCCUUUGAUACUGCAAGCCUAGAGUAUGGAAGAGAGUGAUGGAAUAUCUGGUGUGGCAGUGAAAUGCGUAGAUAUCAGAUAGAACACCAAUGGCGAAGGCAGUCACUUGAUCCAUUACUGACGCUAAAGCACGAAAGCGUGGGUAGCAAACA